AUCAGCAAAAUACUAAUAAGAAAAAAGAUGAGUGUCCUAUUGAUGAUCCUAUCAGUUGUACUAGUAGUAUCUACAUUGACUGGAUCUACUAACAAUUACUACAAUGGUAAGAUACUGACUACUAUACUAAUGGAUAAUAUACCUGUUUGAAUUAUAUAUACUAUCAACAACAAGAACCUACUGGUAAUAAAGGAUCAUUCACUGAUUGCUGUAAGUUCAGUAAUACACUAUUGAUUUAUUUUAUUAUUUUUAAGCUGUUACUAAGAAAUUUCUGGAACUCACUAAUGCAUCAUUAACUCCAACUCCAUUAAAACGUGGUGAAAAGGGCUACUGGCAGGCAGUACUAAAGAUCAAGAGAACCAUACAUUGGGGUAUAGUGCAUAUCAAAUUGACACAUAACUUCAAGAAUUAUACUAAUGUUACUUUUGUUGAUGUCAAAUAUAAUUUAUGUGACUACAUUAUUGAUAUAUUAAAUGAAGACUGUCCACUACCUCCUGGAAUGUAUCCUUUCAAUGCCAGUACUACACUACCACACACUUUUUGGCCAGGUCAGUAUUAUGGUGAAGUAACUGCUUAUAAUGAUAAAGAAGAGCAAAUGAUGUGUGAAAUGAAUGAUUUCUUUAUUGACUGACUAAGGAUAUGAACAUAUAAGAUCUUUGGCCUGACU